GAUGAAGAACGUAGCGAAAUGCGAUAAGUAAUGUGAAUUGCAGAAUUCAGUGAAUCAUCGAGUCUUUGAACGCACAUUGCGCCCCCUGGUAUUCCGGGGGGCAUGCCUGUCCGAGCGUCAUUGCCGCCCUCAAGCACGGCUUGUGUGUUGGGCCCCCGCCCCCCGGCUUCGGGGGGCGGGCCCGAAAGGCAGCGGCGGCACCGCGUCCGGUCCUCGAGCGUAUGGGGCUUCGUCACCCGCUCUGUAGGCCCGGCCGGCGCCCGCCGGCGACCCCAAUCAAUCUUUCCAGGUUGACCUCGGAUCAGGUAGGGAUACCCGCUGAACUUAAGAAUAUCAAUAAGCGGAGGA
rnacentral:misc_RNA from 1 species